rnacentral:rRNA from 1 species
GAAUUCGAUACCAUAGUCCCCGCUACUCUCCUCAUAGGAUACUUAUCAAAAGCUCAAUUUUGUACUGGAUCAGGGCAUCCUAUUAGUAAACCCGUUUGGACAGAUUUAUCAGAUUGGGAUAUUCUUGAUCGAUUUGGUCGGAUAUGUAGAAAUCCUUUUCAUUAUCAUAGUGGAUCUUCAAAAAAACGGACUUUGUAUCGACUAAAGUAUAUACUUCGACUUUCAUGCGCUAGAACUUUAGCUCGUAAACAUAAAAGCACGGUACGAACUUUUAUGCAACGAUUGGGUUCGACAUUUUUAGAAGAAUCUUUUAUGAAAGAAGAGAAUCUGAGCUGGGUGGAAUUGAAGUUCGGUUUCGAUCAAGACACCCCUGCCUACUUACCUUAA